rnacentral:tRNA from 1 species
GAGGGUAUAGCUCAGUGGUAGAGCACGCACCUAGUAGGUAUGAGGUCCUGGGUUCAAUCUCCAGUGCCUUCA